rnacentral:rRNA from 1 species
AACGAACGCUGGCGGCGUGCUUAACACAUGCAAGUGGAGCGACGAACCAGGCUUCGGCCUGGGGCAGAGCCGCGAACGGGUGAGUAACACGUGGGUAACCUGCCCUGAUGAUCGGGACAACCCGGGGAAACCCGGGCUAAUACCGAAUGUGCUGCUCUCGCAUCAGUGAGAGUAGGAAAGGAAGCUUCGGCCUCCGCAUCAGGAUGGGCCCGCGGCCCAUUAGCUUGNGGUGAGGUAACGGCUCACCAAGGCUUCGAUGGGUAGCUGGUCUGAGAGGACGAUCAGCCACACUGGGACUGAGACACGGCCCAGACUCCUACGGGAGGCAGCAGUGGGGAAUAUUGGACAAUGGGCGAAAGCCUGAUCCAGCAAUG